rnacentral:lncRNA from 1 species
UUACUGUAAAAUAAUGAUUUUGAAAAAGUUUUAAAAUUACCAUUUUACCCCUGUACUAAAUUUUCUCCAAAAGAUCCUCCCACAACAUGCACCGGCCCCUUCUGGAGCUGAUGGUCCUUCUCAAAUAUCUACAGCAACCUUAGCAAAUCAUGGUAGUGUACUGCAGGCUUGAUCAUUUUAUAAUAACUCAAGAAGGAUAGGUAGGACUUCGAUAGCA